UCCUCGUUUAAGCGAGGCAGUCUGUCCAGAGUGCUUCCUGCUCUCGCAGGAUUGGCAACAGGACACAAGGGUUGCGCUCGUUGCGGGACUUAACCCAACAUCUCACGACACGAGCUGACGACAGCCAUGCAGCACCUGUGCAUGCUCCCCUUGCGGGGUCAUCACCCUUUCAGGCUUUUACCACGUGCAUGUCAGGGCCAGGUAAGGUUCUUCGCGUUGCAUCGAAUUAAGCCACAUACUCCACCGCUUGUGCAGGCCCCCGUCAAUUCCUUUGAGUUUUAGCCUUGCGGCCGUAGUCCCCAGGCGGGGUGCUUAACGCGUUAGCUACGGCACAGAAUCCGUUGACCAGAUCCCACACCUAGCACCCAUCGUUUACGGCGUGGACUAC
rnacentral:misc_RNA from 1 species